rnacentral:lncRNA from 1 species
GGAAAUCAAAAUUAAUUUCUGAAAAAUUACAUGGAACUAUGAUUUUCUUGGUGUCUCUGACAAUUGCUUCAAGAUGGAAUGCAUAAGCUCCAUCAACGGCCAUUUGUAAGUAGAUCGAUACCAUAAGGAUGCUUACAAAGUGUGUGUUUCUCUUAGUUUACCUGAGGGUGUGUGGGGUGCGUGUUUGUAUGGCCAUUUUGGCCUUCUCUUCUUUCUUGAUGCAAUGAUACACAGUUCUGCGUAGUUCUGCGUAUUCGAGAAAACAUAAGGAUGCUUAGUUAACGUGCUGAUCCUUUACAGCAUGCAAUGAAAGCUCUUAUUGGGUGCUACAUAUUGUUUGGUGUGUACUCAGUAGUGUGUUUUUUGUGGGAACAUACAGUAGUAUCAUCAAAUUUUAUAUGACGUCACUUUGUAUAUAUUUUUGAUAUAAAUUACAGUCUGUUGAUAUCUUUUUAGUGCAGUAGACAAUUAAUUAUUAUUUUCCAUUUUCGUGUGUUAUAUAGGUCAUCGACAAAGCUCGUUCGGCAACUGAAUGGUGAUGUGUCAUUUUGCACAUAACGUGGAUGCCAAUAGUAAUAUUAUGAUUUUGAUCUUCAAACACAACACAUACUUUUGGUAUAGGAUGUUCUAAGGAAAAAACGUCUCAAGUUGCAUGUAACGAGUCUGUUUUGGCUUUUGUUCAUAUAUGGGUGACAAUGUGUGGUGUUACUAGACCACUGUUUGGUCAAUUGGAGUAACAAAUCUAGUGAUCUCUCUUGUUAUAGUGAUCUCUCUUGUUAGAGUUACUGUGGUUGUAUUGUAGUGGCCUCUUUGUGUAAUGGGCUUAGGUCUAACAAUUCUAUUAUAAAUAUGUCACCAACCCUAGUUAGGGUUAUGGGUGGCAAUGGGACCCAAUCCUCGAUUCUUCGUGGGAAAUUAAUCUAUUAGAGGAUGGAGAACUUUCUUUCCAUACGGAAAUGUAAAUGGGAAAAAAUCGUCCCUGAUAGGUAAAUAGGGAUGGAGAUGGGGAAGCAUUUUCCAUCAUCAUUCCCUGCGAGACUCGUUAAAUUUGCACGUGACAAUGUUUUUAUAUAUAGUUAAUGAUAAAAAUAAAUAAUUAUCUUACCAAGAGAUCACUCCUUAUACAAAUUUGUUCAUUUUGAUAUAUAUAUACUGAUUUCUUACAUCUGAGAAUGUGUAUAAAUGACAAUAUUUUGAAUUAAUAACAAAGGAACUACAUACUUAGGGUUAGGCUUUUCAGUCUAAUAUGGUAUCUACAACUAUGUUUAACCUUCUUCCCCACCCGAGCCCCAACUGUAGCCAUCGGCUAUAGUAACUCGUCGGCGUCCGCAGGUCACGCCCUCGACGUGCUAGGCUCCAUGGUCGGUGUCAUCUGCUGUCCACGCCCCCGACGCGCAAAGUUCGCUCCCUCGCCUAAUUGCCUGUGUCGACCUCUAACGCGUCUAGCGCCGUCGCGGGUCGAGCCGCAACUCUGUUCCCC